GACGAACGCUAGCGGCGUGCUUAACACAUGCAAGUCGAACGGUGAAGCGCCUUCCUUUUUGGUGGGUGUGGAUGAGUGGCGAACGGGUGAGUAACACGUGAGUAACCUGCCCCCUUCUUCUGGAUAACCGCAUGAAAGUGUGGCUAAUACGGGAUAUUCUGGGUCUGUCGCAUGAUGGGUCUGGGAAAGAUAUUGUUUCGGUGGGGGAUGGGCUCGCGGCCUAUCAGCUUGUUGGUGGGGUGAUGGCCUACCAAGGCGGUGACGGGUAGCCGGCCUGAGAGGGUGGACGGUCACACUGGGACUGAGACACGGCCCAGACUCCUACGGGAGGCAGCAGGGGGGAAUAUUGCACAAUGGGCGCAAGCCUGAUGCAGCGACGCCGCGUGAGGGAUGGAGGCCUUCGGGUUGUGAACCUCUUUCGCCAGUGAAGCAGGCCUGCCUCGUUUGUGGGUGGGUUGACGGUAGCUGGAGAAGAAGCGCCGGCUAACUACGUG
rnacentral:rRNA from 1 species